rnacentral:rRNA from 1 species
AUUGAACGCUGGCGGCAUGCCUUACACAUGCAAGUCGAACGGUAACAGGUCUUCGGAUGCUGACGAGUGGCGAACGGGUGAGUAUACAUCGGAACGUGCCUAGUAGUGGGGGAUAACUACUCGAAAGAGUGGCUAAUACCGCAUGAGAUCUACGGAUGAAAGCAGGGGAUCGCAAGACCUUGUGCUACUAGAGCGGCCGAUGGCAGAUUAGGUAGUUGGUGUGAUAAAAGCUUACCAAGCCGACGAUCUGUAGCUGGUAUGAGAGGAAGAUCAGCCACACUGGGACGGAGACACGGCCCAGACUCCUACGGGAGGCAGCAGUGGGGAAUUUUGGACAAUGGGCGCAAGCCUGAUCCAGCAAUGCCGCGUGCAGGAUGAAGGCCUUCGGGUUGUAAACUGCUUUUGUACGGAACGAAAAGCCCUGGGUUAAUACCCUGGGGUCAUGACGGUACCGUAAGAAUAAGCACCGGCUAACUACGUGCCAGCAGCCGCGGUAAAAC